rnacentral:rRNA from 1 species
CGGGGUGCAGCAGGCGCGAAAACUUUACAAUGCGGGAAACCGUGAUAAGGGGACACCGAGUGCCAGCAUCAUAUGCUGGCUGUCCAGGUGUGUAAAAUACACCUGUCAGCAAGGGCCGGGCAAGACCGGUGCCAGCCGCCGCGGUAACACCGGCGGCCCGAGUGGUGAUCGUGAUUAUUGGGUCUAAAGGGUCCGUAGCCGGUUUGGUCAGUCCUCCGGGAAAUCUGACGGCUCAACCGUUAGGCUUUCGGGGGAUACUGCCAGGCUUGGAACCGGGAGAGGUAAGAGGUACUACAGGGGUAGGAGUGAAAUCUUGUAAUCCCUGUGAGACCACCUGUGGCGAAGGCGUCUUACCAGAACGGGUUCGACGGUGAGGGACGAAAGCUGGGGGCACGAACCGGAUUAGAUACCCGGGUAGUCCCAGCCGUAAACGAUGCUCGCUAGGUGUCAGGCGUGGCGCGACCGUGUCUGGUGCCGCAGGGAAGCCGUGAAGCGAGCCACCUGGGAAGUACGGCCGCAAGGCUGAAACUUAAAGGAAUUGGCGGGGGAGCAC